AAACGACUCUCGGCAACGGAUAUCUCGGCUCUUGCAUCGAUGAAGAACGUAGCAAAAUGCGAUACUUGGUGUGAAUUGCAGAAUCCCGUGAACCAUCGAGUCUUUGAACGCAAGUUGCGCCCCAAGCCUUCUGGCCGAGGGCACGUCUGCCUGGGUGUCACAA
rnacentral:rRNA from 1 species